rnacentral:lncRNA from 10 species
CCUGUGUGUUCCAGCCAUGGUACAAGUCUGUGACACAUCCAGGGAGCUUGAGUGGUGGGAAGGUGGGGAACCCCCACUUCCCUGCUUCCCUGCCCCAUAAUCUUUCUGUGGGCGGGAGGUCCUUCCUCCCACACAAGGAAACCCAUGAAAGGCCAGACAGAAUGGUGCCAGAUAAGGCCAUGGAAUUUGGAAUUUGGUGGGAUCUAGAAUUUCCCUUAUGGGGAAGGCUGGUCCCAGCUGUCCACCCAUUGCCUGGGAGCAACAGGCAUCACCCUGACCAGCGACGGUGGGACAGCCAGAGAUGGCAUGGGGCUGAUUCUCACCACCAGCUCUUACUCAAGCCAAGGGACACGGGGCCCUCAUGCACCCCUUUAUAGGGUCUGCAAGACUGCGGUUCCUAAGAAGCUCUGAGAACUACACGCCCUGCCCCAGAAGCACAACAACUCCCUAGAAGGAGCCUUGGAAAGGAAGUCCAGGGAAGUGAGAGGGAGAUGCCCCAAGGUCCCAGGGAAUUUCUGUUUAGCCUGCCCUUCCAGCAGAGAUCAGGGCCUCCGGGAGCUCGGGCAAGCGCUCUGGUCCAGUGGGCCGUGAUGGGAAGGAGGGUGGAUGGCUUGAUCCACGCUUCCAGCGACCCCUUUCCCUUGAGAGGUCAGACCCUCAGCAGGCCCUGCCCCGCCCUCUGCAGGCUCCUCAGGAUCCAGGGGCAGGGGCGGAGGAGGACACUGUCAAGGGUGUAAUAAACAACUUACUGACUGGAAAGCAGAAUUCUCAGGCUUGGAGCAGGACCUUCCGGCAAUCAUGCCCCCACCAUCCUCCCAGGGUCUCCUCUGCUCUCUAUAGGAGCUGAGGUCUGGCUCAGCCUCUUUUCCAGCAGACCAGCUGAUCUGCCCCUGGGGCUUGUUGCUCCCCAUGCACCCACAAACACCCACUCUCUCUGACCAAUCCUUAAAAUGGGAAAGGGGCUGACUGAGGCUGGCUGACUGGCCUGUGGGAAAGUGCCAGUUCCGUCCAUCAAUCAACAGCUCUUUAGCGAGACAACAAUCACGUUGGUGGAGGAGUCUGCAUUUUAUAAAGCAGCUCCAAGUUCGAUUCCCUCACCGCCCAGUCACUCCACAGGCAACUCCAGAGCAUCCAGC